rnacentral:misc_RNA from 1 species
GAAAAAAUACGUGUGGGAUAUUGCGGGAUGCGGAGACGCGUGCGCGUAUACUGCUAUGCAAAUCAUUAAUACCCGUUUUUCCAUGAUGAAAAAUGGGGAAGGUGGUGGGCAGCAUUGUGCGCGUGUCUCCUUUUAUAAUACAAAUUCUUUAUAUAAUUUAUAUUUCGCUAAUGCAGUGGAAUAUAUAUAAUAUGAAA